GGUAGGACUACCCGCUGA
rnacentral:rRNA from 2 species